rnacentral:rRNA from 1 species
UACGUAGGGCGCGAGCGUUGUCCGGAUUUAUUGGGCGUAAAGAGCUCGUAGGCGGCUUGUCGCGUCGAAUGUGAAAACUCGGGGCUCAACUCCGAGCUUGCAUUCGAUACGGGCAGGCUAGAGUUCGGUAGGGGAGACUGGAAUUCCUGGUGUAGCGGUGAAAUGCGCAGAUAUCAGGAGGAACACCGGUGGCGAAGGCGGGUCUCUGGGCCGAUACUGACGCUAAGGAGCGAAAGCGUGGGGAGCGAACAGG